rnacentral:rRNA from 1 species
UACGUAGGGUGCGAGCGUUGUCCGGAAUUAUUGGGCGUAAAGAGCUCGUAGGCGGCUUGUCACGUCGGAUGUGAAAGCUCGGGGCUUAACCCCGAGUCUGCAUUCGAUACGGGCUAGCUAGAGUGUGGUAGGGGAGAUCGGAAUUCCUGGUGUAGCGGUGAAAUGCGCAGAUAUCGCUUGGAACGCCGACGGCGAAAGCAGUCUGCUGGGGGUGUGCUGACGCUGAGACACGAAAGCCAGGGGAGCGAACGGG